rnacentral:pre_miRNA from 15 species
UGUUGAAGUAUUGCAAAAGCAAAGGACGGGCACAAUUGCCAUGUGUUGGUAUUAUUGCUUCAAGUUAUUUGAAGCUGUAAUAUCAAUAAGCAUGUCUCGUGUGAAGUCCGACAA